rnacentral:snoRNA from 1 species
GUGGUCUCAUUAACUUCCUUAUUGUCGGUUAUUGGCAGUUCCUAAAUUCAUAUGAGAGGAAUCAAUUCAUAGAACUCACAUGAUAUUACUUUCUGUCUUUACAGGGGACUUUGACUGUUUUAGGGGACAUUU